rnacentral:piRNA from 1 species
UCUCAGAUGGUAUUUGAAUCC